rnacentral:lncRNA from 1 species
AUCUAUUGGCGUACAGGAAUAAAAUAAUGCAACUUCUAUUGACAUUCAUCUCACCUUUAAAUAUCUGUUUUUUUAGUGUCUGUGAUAACACAGAGGCUUAGAACAGCCGAGUGACUCACCCAAAGUCACACAGCUGGGAAGUGCACCUGAUUCCAAAGCCCAUCCUGCCCUUCACAUAUGCUGAGCCUUGCACAGACAGGAGCAGGAUCUGGAGCCGAAGGAGCAGGACAGUGGCUGAGAGGUCAGAAUGGAGUGACAGGGGGAUGGGAAAGAGGGGUCACUUAGACCCUGGUGACAGCUGACAGAACUGUGCUGGCCUCCUAGUCAGUCACUCAUGCUCAGCUGCAAAUGUCCAUGGUGAAGAAAACCCAGGUGUCCCACUUUCCCAGGAUUCACUUGCUGGAUUUAUAAUGCACACCUCUGACUGACACUGCUGAAAGAACUUUAUUUUUAAGGAACUGUACUUUAUUUUUUACUUUAUCUUACUUUAUUACAAUAUUA